CAGCUGUGGGCUCAGAGGCAGAGCUCUGGGGUGUCUCCACCAUGGCCUGGACCCCUCUCCUGCUCCCCCUCCUCACUCUCUGCACAGGUUCUGUGGCCUCCUCUGCUCUCUCUCAGCCACUUUCAGUGUCUGUGGCCCUGGGACAGACAGCCAGAGUCACCUGCCAGGGAGGAGGCUUAGGAACCUACACUGUGUACUGGUACCAGAAGGACCCAGGUCAGAGACCUGUGCUGAUUAUCUCUCGAGACAGUAACCGGCCCUCAGGGGUCCCCGAUCGAUUCUCCGGCUCCCGCUCAGGUGGAACGGCCACCCUGACCAUCACUGGGGCCCAGGCUGAGGACGAGGCUGACUAUUUCUGUCAGUCAUGGGACAGCACUGGUAACAACCCCACAGUGACACAGGGUAACAUGGAGUCUGAGGCCAUGGACGACUCUGUGGAAGCAGCUCAGGGAAGGACAGUCACUGUUCACUGA